rnacentral:lncRNA from 1 species
UGGCUUCUGUUAGGAAGUGGAAGGUUAGCCUCCCAAAUGAUCCAAAAGAGCUUCACGAACUAGGGAUAGAAGGGUCUGCUAGAUCUGCAAGAAAUAGGAUUGACCAUACUUAUUUAUUAAGGUCGAUCCUCUAAUUUUCACAAAUUAUUAGCUAAACUGUUUAAUUUGUACCUAAUAUUAUUUUCCACAGUUGUUAUAACUCAUUACCAGCCACCUUAAUCUCCAUAUUUGUGCACUGGCAGAUUGCUUGACAAAGCUGCUGUAAAGAGUGGACCAACCUCACCUUGGAUGCUAUGUCCAGUGACUCAAGUUGAAGAAACCAAGCAAAUGAUAAAAAUGCUUCCUGUUUUAAUGGUCACAUUCAUACCUAGUGCCAUGCUAGCUCAAUUAAGCACGUUUUUCGUCAAACAAGGGACAACCUUAGACAGAAGCAUGGGACCCCAUUUCGAAAUCCCUCCGGCAAGCCUCGGAGCAUUUGUGACAAUCUUCAUGCUGGCAAGCCUCGUGUUGUAUGAUCGUUGCUUUGUCCCAAUAGCUAGACACUACACAAAAAACCCAAGAGGGAUUACUAUGCUGCAAAGAAUGGGGAUUGGUAUUAUCUUGCAUAUUAUUGUCAUGAUCGUAGCUUUCGUAGUUGAAAGGAAAAGACUCAGUGUUGCAAGAGAACAUAAUAUUGUAGGCAAACUAGAAGUAGUGCCUCUCAGCAUUUUUGUACUCCUACCUCAGUUUGCUUUAGUAGGGAUUUCUGAUACGUUCUUGGAAGUAGCCAAGCUAGAGUUUUUCUAUGACCAGGCCCCGGAAGGAAUGAAAAGCUUGGGGACUUCGUAUUUCUGUAGCAGUAUUGGAGUUGGGAAUUACCUCAGCAGUUUUAUCCUGUCAACGGUUUCUGGGAUCACUAAGAAACAUGGCCAUAAAGGGUGGAUUUUGGACAAUCUAAAUCUCUCUCGCAUAGACUAUUAUUAUGCAUUCUUGGCCAUCUUGGGCUUUCUCAACUUCCUCCUCUUUUUGCUUGUGGCAAACUACUUUGUUUAUAAUGUCGACAUGGACUCCAAAAGGGAUCUGCAGAGAGCAAUGGAAACUUCCUCUAGCAAAAGUCCUGUUCAGAUUUUAUAAUGAAGACUCGUAGGCUGGGUAUUCGAUGUCCUAUGGACCUUAUUGUAUCAUCUCUUGCUAUAAAAAAUGUCUUUUGAUUUAGAAACAUAAAUUUCAUUUCGGUAACAAUGGUUUGUCUUUAGCAAUGAGCUCUAACACUCAAACUGUUAUUAAACUUGGCCUGGCUAAUAUGAAACUUGAUCUAAGAUAGAUUUUAUGGAUACAAUAAAAACAUUCGAUCAAAACUCAACGAUUUUUUUUUAAAAAAAAAUAUUAAACUUUUUUUAAAAAAAUUAAAUUCACUCACCGGUUUCGUAGACUGAAACUUGCACCGAAUCCACUCUCGAAUGAAUUCAUGUUAGUUUAAAAGAUUAGCAACAAAAUAGCAUUUUUCUCCAAAUUUGUACUAGAACCCUAGAAUUGAUAAUUUGGGUUUCUUUUUUCUUUCCCUCCUUCUAAAACUACUAGAACCAUGAAAUAAGGAUUAAGAAACAUCUUACCAACUAAGUUCGAGUUCAAUUGAAGGGUUUCUUGACAAACUCUUCUUCUUCUUCUUUUCCUUUUUUCUCUUUCCCAAUUUCUAGUUACUCUCUCUUAUUCCUUAUUGUCAAAACCAACCCUCUCUCUGUAUAUUCUCAUUUGCUUCUCCUUUGUUGUUUACACAAAAUUUAUCUCAAGCUCUCCAUUUGGAAGGACAUGCAUGCUGUAUUGGAGGAGAAAACAAAUGAGAAGAAGAUGUUCUUCUUUCCUAAGUUAGAU